rnacentral:rRNA from 1 species
UGAGGAAUAUUGGUCAAUGGGGGCAACCCUGAACCAGCCAAGUCGCGUGAAGGAUGAAGGUCUUAUGGAUUGUAAACUUCUUUUACACGGGAAUAAAGCGGGGGACGUGUCCCUCUUUGCAUGUACCGUGUGAAUAAGGAUCGGCUAACUCCGUGCCAGCAGCCGCGGUAAUACGGAGGAUCCGAGCGUUAUCCGGAUUUAUUGGGUUUAAAGGGUGCGCAGGCGGGAUGUUAAGUCGGCGGUGAAAUUUUGCAGCUCAACUGUAAAAGUGCCUUCGAUACUGGCUUCCUUGAGUGUAGAUGAAGUAGGCGGAAUUUGUGGUGUAGCGGUGAAAUGCUUAGAUAUCACGAGGAACUCCGAUUGCGCAGGCAGCUUACUAGACUACAACUGACGCUCAUGCACGAAGGCGUGGGGAUCAAACA